rnacentral:rRNA from 1 species
AACAGCCGCGGUAAUUCCAGCUCCAAUAGCGUAUAUUAAAGUUGUUGCAGUUAAAAAGCUCGUAGUUGAAUUUUGGGUUUGGGUAAUCGGUCCGUUCUUGUAACGAGUACUGGUUAGUCGGGCCUCACCGCCUGGUGAUGCGGAAUGCCCUUUAUUGGGUGUUGCGAGUAGCCAGGACUUUUACCUUGAAAAAAUUAGAGUGUUUAAAGUAGGCAUAUGCCGGAAUACAUUAGCAUGGAAUAAUAGAAUAGGACAAUGAUUCUAUUUUGUUGGUUUCUAGGACCAUUGUAAUGAUUAAUAGGGAUAGUUGGGGGCAUUAGUAUUCAAUUGUCAGAGGUGAAAUUCUUGGAUUUAUUGAAGACUAACUACUGCGAAAGCAUUUGCCAAGGAUGUUUUCAUUAAUCAAGAACGAAAGUUAGGGGAUCGAAGACGAUCAGAUACCGUCGUAGU